AAAUAUGGAAAGAGCCAAAAGAGGUAUGUCAUUCAAAUUCCCCUUUCUUCCCAAAUGAAAUUCCCCCCAAAUAAGACCACCAUAUCCUCAAUUUGUAAGGCGCUUUCAUGUAAUUUCUCUUCAUAAUUAUAAUUAGUUCUUUUGAAGUUUAUCUGUGUUUGAUUUGCCUCUUCACGGUGCCAGUAGGGGACACAUCUCCCAUCUUUAAAUUCCACCAGUCUUCUCCCUUCUCUUCUCUCCUCUCCUCCCACUCCUCCUAUGUUCUGGAGAGUGUGUAUAAAUGCUUUGUUCUUCAAAGUUUUCAUUACUCAGAAGGUGGCAUACAAAAUAGUUACAUAAUGCACACUUUAUUCACAUUUAUAAAAUCAUUAAUCAAAAAGUUUUCAUUGCAAAAAUUUCCAAACGAUGUCUGUAACCAACAACUGCAGCGUCGGGGUAUACUACAACCCAGCACAAUUCAUUAAGCUCUCUCAGUGGGUUGAAUCUCUGAUACUCCAGCAGUCUCAGUAACACUUCAGGAAGUAAUACAGAGGCUAUGUCUCUCUGGAGAGUAGUCUUCCAACUUUCUGGGACAGAAGUCAACCACCAUAUUCCCCAUCAACUUCCCAAAAGAAGAGAGAAGAGUGGGGGAGGUAGAACAGGUUGCCAAAUCCACUUAGGCAAACUCCGUAUGGACUAACCCACCAAAUCAAAGGCCAGGAAGUUACCCAAACCAACUUUAAAAGCGCUCAGAGUUCGGAUGCGAAUCAGACAAGGGUAUGCCUCCUGUGACACCUGAGACACCACGAAAGUUCUUGAAAGCAUCUGUUGUGGGUUUACCCUCUUCCUGGUUAACUUCUAUUCCUUUUCUUGGCGUUCUCCUUUCCCCAUUUUCUGUGUCUUUCCCCUAGCACUGGCACUAGAGGCAUUACCCAUUGCCGGCCCAUGAAUGAAAUCACUACUUAGUAGCCAGACCUCUCCUCGCGCCAAUGAAAGCAUCUAUGCUUGGGUCCCUUGAAGUGUGACAUUCCUGUGCCGUCAAGUCAUCUCAAAAGUGCUUCUCAGAGUUAGGCAAACAAAGGGAAUCCUCAAGUCACAAGGUGCAGCUGGGGCUCAGGUAGAGGACCCUGACCGCAUCACACCAGAAUAUAACUCUCAGGUAGUGAAACGGAUGGAGGCGGUGAGAAAGCCGAUGUCCAAACCAAGCAAACUCAGACGCGCACGCGCGUGGCUCGCAGCGCGUCUCCGGUGGCCGCAUCACAGCGCCUGCGCACAGAAUCCGAGGACGGGCGGGGAGCGGAGAAGAGCCGGGGCCUAGCGCUCCCACCGCCUCACUCCCCUCAGCCUGCGAGCCCC
rnacentral:lncRNA from 1 species